GACGAACGCUGGCGGCGUGCCUAAUACAUGCAAGUUGAGCGCUGAAGGUUGGUACUUGUCCCAACUGGAUGAGCAGCGAACGGGUGAGUAACGCGUGGGGAAUCUGCCUUUGAGCGGGGGACAACAUUUGGAAACGAAUGCUAAUACCGCAUAAAAACUUUAAACACAAGUUUUAAGUUUGAAAGAUGCAAUUGCAUCACUCAAAGAUGAUCCCGCGUUUUAUUAGCUAGUUGGUGAGGUAAAGGCUCACCAAGGCGAUGAUACAUAGCCGACCCGAGAGGGUGAUCGGCCACAUUGGGACUGAGACACGGCCCAAACUCCUACGGGAGGCAGCAGUAGGGAAUCUUCGGCAAUGGACGAAAGUCUGACCGAGCAACGCCGCGUGAGUGAAGAAGGUUUUCGGAUCGUAAAACUCUGUUGGUAGAGAAGAACGUUGGUGAGAGUGGAAAGCUCAUCAAGUGACGGUAACUACCCAGAAAGGGACGGCUAACUACGUG
rnacentral:rRNA from 1 species